rnacentral:rRNA from 1 species
GUGAGGAAUAUUGGUCAAUGGGCGAGAGCCUGAACCAGCCAAGUCGCGUGAAGGAAGAAGGAUCUAUGGUUCGUAAACUUCUUUUGCAGGGGAAUAAAGUGCGGGACGUGUCCUGUUUUGUAUGUACCCUGAGAAUAAGGAUCGGCUAACUCCGUGCCAGCAGCCGCGGUAAUACGGAGGAUCCGAGCGUUAUCCGGAUUUAUUGGGUUUAAAGGGUGCGUAGGUGGUUGGAGAAGUCAGCGGUGAAAGUUUGCAGCUUAACUGUAAAAAUGCCGUUGAAACUGUCGGACUUGAGUGUAAAUGAGGUAGGCGGAAUGCGUGGUGUAGCGGUGAAAUGCAUAGAUAUCACGCAGAACUCCGAUUGCGAAGGCAGCUUACUAAGCUACAACUGACACUGAAGCACGAAAGCGUGGGGAUCAAACAGGAUUAGAUACCCCAGUAGUCC